rnacentral:rRNA from 1 species
UACGUAGGGAGCGAGCGUUAUCCGGAUUUAUUGGGUGUAAAGGGUGCGUAGACGGGAGUCUAAGUUGGUUGUGAAAUCCCUCGGCUUAACUGAGGAACUGCAACCAAAACUGGAUUUCUUGAGUGCGGAAGAGGAGAGUGGAAUUCCUAGUGUAGCGGUGAAAUGCGUAGAUAUUAGGAGGAACACCAGUGGCGAAGGCGACUCUCUGGUCCGCAACUGACGUUGAUGCACGAAAGUGUGGGGAGCAAAC